rnacentral:rRNA from 1 species
UACGGGGGAUGCAAGCGUUAUCCGGAAUCAUUGGGCGUAAAGCGUCUGCAGGUUGUUUGAUAAGUCUGUUGUUAAAGACUGGGGCUUAACCCCAGGAAAGCAAUGGAAACUGUCAGACUUGAGUAUGGUAGAGGUAGAGGGAAUUCCUAGUGUAGCGGUGAAAUGCGUAGAUAUUAGGAAGAACACCGGUGGCGAAAGCGCUCUACUGGGCCAUAACUGACACUCAGAGACGAAAGCUAGGGUAGCAAAUGGGAUUAGAUACCCCAGUAGUCCUAGCCGUAAACGAUGGAUACUAGACGUUGCCUUUUUAACAGUGUCCUAGCUAACGCGUUAAGUAUCCCGCCUGGGGAGUACACUCGCAAGGGUG